UACAGAGGGGGCGAGCGUUGUUCGGAAUUACUGGGCGUAAAGGGCGCGUAGGCGGCCUUCUAAGUCGAACGUGAAAUCCCCGGGCUCAACCCGGGAACUGCGUCCGAUACUGGGAGGCUUGAAUCCGGGAGAGGGAUGUGGAAUUCCAGGUGUAGCGGUGAAAUGCGUAGAUAUCGGGAGGAACACCAGUGGCGAAGGCGACUUCCUGGCCUGUUCUUGACGCUGAGGCGCGAAAGCUAGGGUAGCAAACGGG
rnacentral:rRNA from 1 species